rnacentral:rRNA from 1 species
UACGGAGGGAGCGAGCGUUGACCGAAGUUACUGGGCGUAAAGGGCCAGUAGGCGGCCAACUAAGUCCGACGUGAAAUCCCAAGGCUUAACCUUGGAACUGCGUCGGAUACUGGAUGGCUUGAAUUCGGGAGAGGGAUGCAGAAUUCCAGGUGUAGCGGUGAAAUGCGUAGAUAUCUGGAGGAAUACCGGUGGCGAAGGCGGCAUCCUGGACCGACAUUGACGCUGAACGGCGAAAGCUAGGGGAGCAAACGGG